GACGAACGCUGGCGGCGUGCCUAAUACAUGCAAGUAGAACGCACAGUUUAUACCGUAGCUUGCUACACCAUAGACUGUGAGUUGCGAACGGGUGAGUAACGCGUAGGUAACCUGCCUUGUAGCGGGGGAUAACUAUUGGAAACGAUAGCUAAUACCGCAUAAUAUUGAUUAUUGCAUGAUAAUUGAUUGAAAGAUGCUAUUGCAUCACUACCAGAUGGACCUGCGUUGUAUUAGCUAGUAGGUGAGGUAACGGCUCACCUAGGCGACGAUACAUAGCCGACCUGAGAGGGUGAGCGGCCACACUGGGACUGAGACACGGCCCAGACUCCGACGGGAGGCAGCAGUAGGGAAUCGUCGGCAAUGGACGAAAGUCUGACCGAGCAACGCCGCGUGAGUGAAGAAGGUUUUCGGAUCGUAAAGCUCUGUUGUAAGAGAAGAACGGGUGUGAGAGUGGAAAGUUCACACUGUGACGGUAUCUUACCAGAAAGGGACGGCUAACUACGUG
rnacentral:rRNA from 1 species